rnacentral:rRNA from 1 species
AAACGGCUACCACAUCCAAGGAAGGCAGCAGGCGCGCAAAUUACCCACUCCCGGCACGGGGAGGUAGUGACGAAAAAUAACGAUACGGGACUCAUCCGAGGCCCCGUAAUCGGAAUGAGAACAAUUUAAAUCCUUUAACGAGGAUCAAUUGGAGGGCAAGUCUGGUGCCAGCAGCCGCGGUAAUUCCAGCUCCAAUAGCGUAUAUUAAAGUUGUUGCGGUUAAAAAGCUCGUAGUCGAAUCUGUGUCCCGCGCCGCCGGUUCGYCGCUCGCGGUGUUUAACUGGCGUGUUCGCGGGACGUCCUGCCGGUGGGCUUAGCCCUUUCRCGAGGGCGGCCCAAAUAUAAUCCCGCCGCGGUGCUCUUCACCGAGUGUCGAGGCGGGCCGGCACGUUUACUUUGAACAAAUUAGAGUGCUUAAAGCAGGCUAAAAUUUCGCCUGAAUACUUCGUGCAUGGAAUAAUGGAAUAGGACCUCGGUUCUAUUUUGUUGGUUUUCGGAACCCCGAGGUAAUGAUUAAUAGGAACGGAUGGGGGCAUUCGUAUUGCGACGUUAGAGGUGAAAUUCUUGGWYCGUCGCAAGACGGACAGAAGCGAAAGCAUUUGCCAAAAACGUUUUCAUUGAUCAAGAACGAAAGUUAGAGGUUCGAAGGCGAUCAGAUACCGCCCUAGUUCUAACCAUAAACGAUGCCAGCUAGCGAUCCGCCGACGUUCCUCCGAUGACUCGGCGGGCAGCUUCCGGGAAACCAAAGCUUUUGGGUUCCGGGGGAAGUAUGGUUGCAAAGCUGAAACUUAAAGGAAUUGACGGAAGGGCACCACCAGGAGUGGAGCCUGCGGCUUAAUUUGACUCAACACGGGAAACCUCACCAGGCCCGGACACCGGAAGGAUUGACAGAUUGAGAGCUCUUUCUUGAUUCGGUGGGUGGUGGUGCAUG